rnacentral:rRNA from 1 species
UACGGGGUAGGGGCAGCGUUGUCGAUUCAUUGGGCGUAAAGAGCGUGUAGGCGGCCAGGUAGGUCGGUUGUGAAAACUGGAGGCUCAACCUUCAGAGGUCGACCGAAACCAUCUGGCUAGAGUCCGGGAGAGGAGAGUGGAAUUCCUGGUGUAGCGGUGAAAUGCGCAGAUAUCAGGAAGAACACCCGUGGCGAAAAGCGGCUCUCUGGAACGGUACUGACGCUGAGACGCGAAAAGCGUGGGGAGCGAACAGG